GAUGAACGCUAGCGGCAGGCUUAAUACAUGCAAGUCGAGGGGCAGCAUGAGUGUAGCAAUACAUUUGAUGGCGACCGGCAAACGGGUGCGGAACACGUACACAACCUUCCUAUAAGUGGGGAAUAGCCCAGAGAAAUUUGGAUUAAUACCCCGUAACAUAAUGAUGUGGCAUCACAUUAUUAUUAUAGCUACGGCGCUUUUUGAUGGGUGUGCGGCUGAUUAGAUAGUUGGCGGGUAACGGCCCACCAAGUCUACGAUCAGUAGCUGAUGUGAGAGCAUGAUCAGCCACACGGGCACUGAGACACGGGCCCGACUCCUACGGGAGGCAGCAGUAAGGAAUAUUGGUCAAUGGACGCAAGUCUGAACCAGCCAUGCCGCGUGAAGGAUUAAGGUCCUCUGGAUUGUAAACUGCUUUGAUAGGGAACAAAUGCCACUUGCGAGUGGAGCUGAGUGUACCUAUAGAAUAAGCA
rnacentral:rRNA from 1 species